GGCGUAAGCGUGCGUAGGUGGUUGUUUAAGUCUGUUGUGAAAGCCCUGGGCUCAACCUGGGAAUUGCAGUGGAAACUGGACGACUAGAGUGUGGUAGAGGGUAGUGGAAUUCCCGGUGUAGCAGUGAAAUGCGUAGAGAUCGGGAGGAACAUCCAUGGCGAAGGCAGCUACCUGGACCAACACUGACACUGAGGCACGAAAGCGUGGGGAGCAAACAGGAUUAGAUACCCUGGUAGUCCACGCCCUAAACGAUGCGAACUGGAUGUUGGGUGCAAUUUGGCACGCAGUAUCGAAGCUAACGCGUUAAGUUCGCCGCCUGGGGAGUACGGUCGCAAGACUGAAACUCAAGAAAAUUUUGACGGAA
rnacentral:rRNA from 1 species